rnacentral:ncRNA from 1 species
CGGGAGCUAUCCCGUGGGAAUGUGGCCCAAAAUGGGUUGAACCGUGAA